AAACCUAACUAGACCCGAAAGGAACCCAAAUGAGUACACGAACGCUCACCCGUAGAUCACACAUUGAAAUCUAAAUGUUUUGUCACUCAUUGAAUCGAAUUAAAAUAGAAUUAAAUUAAGAUUUAACUGAAAUUAUAUCCCGCACUUUCAAAACGCGGAUCAAAAUCUAGUCAAUACUAUUAAAACUGAAGGGUCUUUUUUAAGGUACCCUUAGAGUUUUGAUGUAUUUACCAUUCUAUGCCACUGUGUUAUUUUAAAGCUAUGAUUUCAAUUAUUCUUUUAUUUUUUGUUUUGAAAUCGCAACAAACCAUCUCCUAAUUCCGUGUAUUUUUUUUGUCAAUUAUUUAGUUAAUUAAACAUGUGUAAUUAUAGUAUAUGAAAUCCUUUCUAUCGGUGGCUAUAUGAAUUAAUAUAUAGUUUUAUGGAAUGCUUCGAUGAAAACAAAGGAAUAUGCCUUUUGGAAUGUUUUAUCAAAUCUUACAUACUAAUACGUCACCUCCAGCGAUUUUAAUGAGUGUGCCAUUUAACUCCUUUCAUAUUUUCAUAGGUAUAAAACUAUGUGAUCACUAUCAUUUAAUAAAGAGUUUAAUAAUCCAAAAACGAAAAAUAUCAUUCGUCUAUAUAUAAUAAUUCAGAAGUCUAAUCGUUUGUUAUACAAUUAUCUUUUCUAUAAUCAUAACUAUACCUCCACAUUCACUAUAAUAUUACAGUCUGUUCAGCCAUGUGGUUCUUGGUAUGAGUUUGGAUUUCAAAAUUGUUCGAGAUAUAAUAAUCCCAAAUCAAUCUAUUAAUUUUUGAUAAUUCUUCAUUAAGCAUAUCAAUAUCAAACAAGUAAUAAAAGGGGAAUAAGCUCAAAAGAGAGGCUAUCCACGUCUGCAAAGAAAAUCAUCCAAUCUAGAGAUUUAAAUAUGCCAUGUCAUCUCUACUUAGCCAAUUCUUUAAAAAUUCCUGCGUUUGGGCUCUUAAAUCUUCCGAAAUCAACUUUUAGCACCUCAUAUACGGCCCAGGUUAAAAACGUGAUCUUCUAAAAACCUGACAUACCUUAAUAUUCUAAAAUCGUCAUCGAAUCAAUCGUCUUCUUUCAUCUUCUUCCAAUCUUCGUUACACAUCCAAAACCGCCGCCGUUACGCAUCCACUCCACAUCAGCGUGACGAGGUAACGUUUCGUAGUUAAGGCAUUCAAUUAAGGAUUUCACUACAUGCUCUUGAAUGUAUCUUCACUGCUCUCAUAAGUAUUCUGAUUGAGUAUAUAUAUGCCUUCUGAGAGUCCUCCUCACCAAAUAACUCUAUUCUAUGAUAUCAUUGAUCCUGAAAUUUGUCUCCCACAUCCUUUGAUAAUGGUUAAUUCCCAAUUUCAUUUUCUUAGCUGAAAGCUUAUCACUCUCUUGGAGUUAUGCAUAAAGAUCUGAAGCACGAGAAUUUUUUUUCCCUUUUUCUGAUGAAGAUUCUUUUGUUAAAUCUACAGACGAAACACAAGAUUCUCUGGUUAUGGGGAUUCAUUCAAAUUUAAAGUUUUGGGGCAAAUCCAUCUCUCUCAGCCUGAAUGGAACGAGAGCUUAAGAAUUGGGCAUUGUACCUCAUGAGGAGAUAUUCUUCACCAAGUACACAAGGUGAGUGUGGGAAGUUAAUAUGUAUAUCUCUGUUCUACUAUGGUUUUAGUCAUUGUUUGCUUUGAUUAUCUAAAUAUAUAAAAUCGUAUUGUAACCCUGAAUAAUUAGUACACUGUUAUUCUUUUUCGGUGAUUUCAGGCAGCAGCUGGAAAGCAUUCAGAAGAUGAUGGAACCAUUUCCAUUUAUCAGCUUCCUCACAGGUUUGCUUUACUAUUUCUUAACAUCCACAAGAUAUCAUUGAUCACUAACAACAAUGCAUGUGCUGACUUUCUUACACUCUUUUAUCGUCGGGGAAUUGGUUAGUUCAUCUGUAUGUUUUGCUUCCUUGACCUUGUGUUGGAAGGAGCUUUUAUAUAUUAUUCUAUGAUGUAAAGUUCAUAUUUUAAUUAUGGUCCUUAUGUACCUUUUGAAGAAGCCUUUACCAUUUGUUUCAGAGCAUGAAUCUCAUGAAUUUGAAACAGAAUUUUCAAUAGCCAGUGAGGAAGAUAAGAAAAUGGGACGUCAAAAAGACAUACGUGAAUCACGAUCGACAUUGAAAGUGUGAAGAGCAGGGCCAGAGAUAGAGACAUGAUGAAAAGGGUAGUGAAUGCGACCGCCACAAUGGGAGAAAUUGUUAUAGACACCUUAGCAGAGAGCAUAGUGAGAAAACGGAACGUGAGAGAGAGACUUUAUGGAUGAUAAUGAUCAUUACAAAAGUCGAGACCGUGACAGGAAGAGGUCUUUCGAUCGAGAAAGAGAGGAGAGGGACAGGCCAGGGUCACGCUCUCGCUCGAGCAGCCGCUCUUAACGUAAGUCAAGGUCACAAAACUCACAACAUAUGGAUGAGUCUGAAAAUAGAUCACAUUCACUUUUACAGGCAGAAUAGUGGUGGACAACAAGAUGGUUGGAGAUUGCAAGAGUCAUGUCUGCGCUAUCACCACAAUGCAUAAAAUAGUAACAACUAAAACAUUAACUCUUGGAGCAUAGUUGUUACUGUUUGAGGAACUCAAGGUCAUGAAUAUGAGAGAAUCUGGUAAUGUUUUAAGCCGAAAAGAAGAAAAAGCCUAAGGUGAUGUGAAACAGAACAAAUGAGUAUGCUUAUGUUUUGAAAUCUGCUAUAAAAACGAGUAUAGUUAUAAGCUUUGACAGAUUCACUUUUUCUUCUCCUGUCUCUUAUUCAUUUUAUAACUUUUAUUGUGUGGCAACAUUUACUUUCUGGUCGCCUGAGGUUUGGUUUCUAAUAUAAUUAUGAUUCGUAUCAUAAUGGAAUAAUAUAAAAUAUUUCAAAUUUGCAUAUUUGAAUAAAAUCACAGUGAAACUUAUGGCUUAGUUUUGUAAAAAUCUUGAAAUUCAAAAAUAAAUAUUCGUAGGGGACGCUUAAGACAAAUAACUCUUCAAAUAGAACACACAUAUGAUUCCUAUAGACUCAUGAAACUGAUAUGCUGUGAAAACUUAGUUGCACAUUUAGGAUUCUUGAGGUGAUCAAUUUUUACUAAAAAGGACUUUACAGAUUAGAUUUCUUAAACUAAUCAAUUUUUGCCUUUUAAGUAUUAUUCGGAACUCAUAUUUUAACUAUAAAUAGGAAAAAAGAGUAAAAGUUUACGAAGGGUGCUAUUAUUACAACAUAUCCUUCAAUUUAAUAAAAUGGAAUUGGUCAAGUGAGUUGUACGAUGAAUAUCUGUAAACGUGUUUGAAUAUCCCAUAAUUAAAAUACGUUAGAGCUUCAUAUAGCAAAAGAGAGUUUCAGCAUUUACUCUCAGUGGUAUAUUUUAUACAGGAGAUGCCCAAGAUAGAAUGAUUUUAAAUAUAAAAAAAUGUUGAACUGCUCAGGAAAAUUCCUUUUGGCUUAUAAAUAUGGAUAAACGAUCUGAAACAACCUACACAUAGCCAUACAUAAACUUAAAUACUAAAUGGUCACAAUAUAAAAUGAUAAGAAGUUUUAUAUAAUGCCAUAUUCAUAUGUAUCAUUAUAUAAUCUUACAUAAAUAAAAUAAAACCUCAUAG